UACGAGGGGGGCAAAUGUUGUUCGGAAUCACUGGGCGUAAGGGGAGCGUAGGCGGGUUUCUAAGUCAGGUGUUUAAUCCCGGGGCCCAACCCCGGACAGGCACUUGAAACUGGGAAUCUUGAAUAGGGGAGAGGUCAGUGGAAUUGGAGGUGUAGCGGUGGAAUGCGUAGAGAUCUCCAAGAACACCAGUUGCGAAGGCGGCUGACUGGACCCAUAUUGACGCUGAGGCUCGAAAGCAUGGGGAGCAAACAGG
rnacentral:rRNA from 1 species